AGUUGGGGGUGAAAUCCCGGGGCUCAACCCCGGAACUGCCUCCAAACCUGCUAGUCUAGAGUUCGAGAGAGGUGAGUGGAAUUCCGAGUGUAGAGGUGAAAUUCGUAGAUAUUCGGAGGAACACCAGUGGCGAAGGCGGCUCACUGGCUCGAUACUGACGCUGAGGUGCGAAAGUGUGGGGAGCAAACAGGAUUAGAUACCCUGGUAGUCCACACCGUAAACGAUGAAUNCCAGUCGUCGGAUAGUAUACUAUUCGGUGACACACCUAACGGAUUAAGCAUUCCGCCUGGGGAGUACGGUCGCAAGAUUAAAACUCAAAGGAAUGAC
rnacentral:rRNA from 1 species